CUACGGACUUAAAAUCCGUCGACUUUAUAAG
rnacentral:tRNA from 1 species